rnacentral:rRNA from 1 species
AGUGAACGCUGGCGGUAGGCCUAACACAUGCAAGUCGAACGGCAGCACAGUAAGAGCUUGCUCUUACGGGUGGCGAGUGGCGGACGGGUGAGGAAUACAUCGGAAUCUACUUUUUCGUGGGGGAUAACGUAGGGAAACUUACGCUAAUACCGCAUACGACCUACGGGUGAAAGCAGGGGAUCUUCGGACCUUGCGCGAUUGGAUGAGCCGAUGUCGGAUUAGCUAGUUGGCGGGGUAAAGGCCCACCAAGGCGACGAUCCGUAGCUGGUCUGAGAGGAUGAUCAGCCACACUGGAACUGAGGCACGGUCCAGACUCCUACGGGAGGCAGCAGUGGGGAAUAUUGGACAAUGGGCGCAAGCCUGAUCCAGCCAUACCGCGUGGGUGAAGAAGGCCUUCGGGUUGUAAAGCCCUUUUGUUGGGAAAGAAAAGCAGCAGGUUAAUACCCCGCUGUUCUGACGGUACCCAAAGAAUAAGCACCGGCUAACUUCGUG